GAGGGUUUAACUGUCUCCUGUAGCCAAUCAAUGAAAUUGAUCUCACAGUACAAAUGCUGUGAUAUAACUAUAAGACGAGAAGACCCUGUGGAGCUUUAACCCUAUCACAUUAACUAAUUAACCUCAACUACUAUUAGUAUAACGUGAAGUUUAAGUUGGGGCGACUAUGGAGUAAAAAUUAACCUCCAUAUAAUACGAUUAAUCCUCGUUAUAUACGGCUAACAAGCCUAGUCAAAACACACGACCCAGUCAAACUGAUUAUCGAACCAAGUUACCCCAGGGAUAACAGCGCCAUCCCCUUAAAGAGUUCACAUCG
rnacentral:rRNA from 1 species